rnacentral:rRNA from 1 species
UACGAAGGGUGCAAGCGUUAAUCGGAAUUACUGGGCGUAAAGCGUGCGCAGGCGGCGCGUUAAGACAGGUGUGAAAGCCCCGAGCUUAACUUGGGAAUUGCGCUUGUGACUGGCGUGCUGGAGUGUGGCAGAGGGAGGUGGAAUUCCACGUGUAGCAGUGAAAUGCGUAGAUAUCGAGGGGAACACCUGCGGCGAAGGCGGGUUGCUGGGCUGACACUGACGCUGAACUGCGAAAGCUAGGGGAGCGAACGGG